ACGAACGCUGGCGGCGUGCUUAACACAUGCAAGUCGAACGGUGAAGGGGCCUGCUUUUGUGGGCCCUGGAUGAGUGGCGAACGGGUGAGUAACACGUGAGUAACCUGCCCCCUUCUUCUGGAUAACCGCAUGAAAGUGUGGCUAAUACGGGAUAUUCUGGGUCUGUCGCAUGAUGGGUCUGGGAAAGAUUGCGCCUUUGGGUGUUUUUGGUGGGGGAUGGGCUCGCGGCCUAUCAGCUUGUUGGUGGGGUGAUGGCCUACCAAGGCGGUGACGGGUAGCCGGCCUGAGAGGGUGGACGGUCACACUGGGACUGAGACACGGCCCAGACUCCUACGGGAGGCAGCAGUGGGGAAUAUUGCACAAUGGGCGCAAGCCUGAUGCAGCGACGCCGCGUGAGGGAUGGAGGCCCUCGGGUUGUAAACCUCUUUCGACAGUGAAGCAGGCCUGCUCCUUGUGGGUGGGUUGACGGUAGCUGGAUAAGAAGCGCCGGCUAACUACGU
rnacentral:rRNA from 1 species